rnacentral:lncRNA from 1 species
GUGAAGGUGACUGAGAAGCUGCAUGCUUGGCCUGCUUUAGUAUUUACCACUACCACAGGGCAGGAUUGGCUUAGGAAUGCCCUGUGAGCAGAUCGACUAGAGCCUGUGAACCAGAGGGCUCCAUCCCACCGAGGCUCAGGCCACAAGCUACUGCCAGUCUGUGUCCCUGCCCAAUGACUGAUCUUACCUUUGUAGGUUAUCAGUUUGGGACACAUCCAAGUUGUCUGCCUUUUCUCCUCAUUGGUGCUCUGCAAAGGAUCCUGGCUUCUCUCAGUUCUGUGGCUCCCGUGAUCCUUUCUGCUUAAAAGUUGCUUAAGUUAUGAACACAAGUGAUACAGGUGAAGAGGUUCAAGUCUCUUACCACUGUUUUUAAAUUUUCCUAUAUUUUUAGCUGUUUUAAGCUUUACACACUUUGAAGCCCACGUGAUUCGCACUCAUCAAGUCUGUCUUUAUUGUGAACAUGAAGUGGCCCUUUUCUAUCUUGCAGUAUAUUCUAUUUUUUGAGGCAAGGUCUCGCUCUUGCCCAGGCUGGAGUGCGAUCUUGGCUCACUGCACCCUCAAAUUCCUAGGCUCAGUUGAUUCAACCUCCUCAGCCUCCUGAUCCCAGCUACUCGAGAGGCUGAGGCAGGAGAAUCGCUUGAACCCAGGAGGCGGAGACUGUAGUGAGCUGAGAUCCGGCCAUGGCACUCCAGCCUGGGCGACAAGAGUGAAACUCCGUCUAAGAAAAAAAAGGGGGGCCGGGCGCGGUGGCUUAAGCCUGUAAUCCCAGCACUUUGGGAGGCCGAGACGGGUGGAUCACGAGGUCAGGAGAUCGAGACCAUCCUGGCUAACACGGUGAAACCCCGUCUCUACUAAAAACUACAAAAAACUAGCUGGGUGAGUUGGCGGGCGCCUGUAAUCCCAGCUUCUCGGGAGGCUGAGGCAGGAGAAUGGCGUGAACCCGGGAGGCAGAGCUUGCAGUGAGCUGAGAGCCGGCCACUGCACUCCAGCCUGGGUGACAGAGCGAGACUCCGUAUCAAAAAAAAAAAAAAAAAAAGAAAAAAAA